CAUCACCGCACUGACUGAACUGGUCCUUCAUCAUGUCCGGCCUCCAUGCUUACUCAUGUCUUUACAAGAUGGACAUCAAUAUUUUGGUCAGGGUCUGAUAAAUGUGUAAACAGGACAUUAGUUUGUUGACUGAUAUUGUUUUUUCAGAGCCCAUAUCAAUAUAGAUUAUUUCUAGUUAAUGAGGCCGAUGACUGAUAUUGUGGUGGUGGUAUCAGUGCUCACACGGUGUGUCUACGGACACAGACAGAGAGUCCUUGUGCUGCCGUGAAUGUCAGUUAAGUCUUGACCGAGGAAACGGCAGUCUGUAACAGACAGAGUACUCCAGCUUUGUGCCACACAUGGAUCGAUGGCUGCUGGAGACAUAGUUCAUGCUCCUGAAGGUGAACGGGAAACACCAGGCAAAGCCAGCGUGGAGAAAAGACAGCCUACCAUCACUGCGUGGAGUGGAUCCUGCGGUCGUCUUGUAUGUUCAGGACAUCAGAAGAACCUUCUCAGCUCCUGUGUCUAUAAAGAGACUGUUGAUGCUCAGUUUGACAGCUUUUUUUAAAUUAAAAAUUCUAAUUCAUGUCGGCUGUGGUAGGGCUGGACAAUAAUACGAUAACAGAGAACUUUUACUCAAUGUUAAAACAAGACGCACUCCAUAGAACUUCACACCAACAACUUAAAAAUAACAAAAAUAAACAAUAUUUAAACCAAAA